rnacentral:rRNA from 1 species
GGGUUGUGAGGUUAAGCGAAUAAGCGUACACGGUGGAUGCCUAGGCAAUCAGAGGCGAUGAAGGACGUGCUAAUCUGCGAAAAGCGUCGGUAAGGUGAUAUGAACCGUUAUACCCGACGAUAUCCGAAUGGGGAAACCCAGUAUCCAAUGGAUACUAUCAUUAACUGAAUCCAUAGGUUAAUGAGGCGAACCGGGAGAACUGAAACAUCUCAGUACCCCGAGGAAAAGAAAUCAACCGAGAUUCCCCUAGUAGCGGCGAGCGAACGGGGAGCAGCCCAGAGUCUUAAUCAAUAGCAGUGUCAGGAGAACGGUCUGGAAAGUCCGGCAGUAAAGGGUGAUAGCCCCGUAUCUGAAGAUGCUGUUGUUGUGAACUCGACGAGUAGGGCGGGACACGUGUUAUCCUGUCUGAAUAUGGGGGGACCAUCCUCCAAGGCUAAAUACUCCUGAUUGACCGAUAGUGAACCAGUACCGUGAGGGAAAGGCGAAAAGAACCCCGGCGAGGGGAGUGAAAAAGAACCUGAAACCGUGUACGUACAAGCAGUAGGAGCCUCUUUAUGGGGUGACUGCGUACCUUUUGUAUAAUGGGUCAGCGACUUAUAUUCUGUAGCAAGGUUAACCGUAUAGGGGAGCCGUAGGGAAACCGAGUCUUAACUGGGCGAAUGAGUUGCAGGGUAUAGACCCGAAACCCGGUGAUCUAUCCAUGGGCAGGUUGAAGGUUGGGUAACACUAACUGGAGGACCGAACCGACUAAUGUUGAAAAAUUAGCGGAUGACUUGUGGAUGGGGUGAAAGGCCAAUCAAACCGGGAGAUAGCUGGUUCUCCCCGAAAGCUAUUUAGGUAGCGCCUCGUGAACUCAUCUUCGGGGGUAGAGCACUGUUUCGACUAGGGGGUCAUCCCGACUUACCAACUCGAUGCAAACUGCGAAUACCGAAGAAUGUUAUCACGGGAGACACACGGCGGGUGCUAACGUCCGUCGUGAAGAGGGAAACAACCCAGACCGCCAGCUAAGGUCCCAAAGUCAUGGUUAAGUGGGAAACGAAGUGGGAAGGCUCAGACAGCCAGGAUGUUGGCUUAGAAGCAGCCAUCAUUUAAAGAAAGCGUAAUAGCUCACUGGUCGAGUCGGCCCGCGCGGAAGAUGUAACGGGGCUAAACCAUGCACCGAAGCUGCGGCAGCGACACAAAGUGUUGUUGGGUAGGGGAGCGUUCUGUAAGCCUGCGAAGGUGUACUGUGAGGUAUGCUGGAGGUAUCAGAAGUGCGAAUGCUGACAUAAGUAACGAUAAUGCGGGUGAAAAACCCGCACGCCGGAAGACCAAGGGUUCCUGUCCAACGUUAAUCGGGGCAGGGUGAGUCGACCCCUAAGGCGAGGCUGAAAAGCGUAGUCGAUGGGAAACGGGUUAAUAUUCCCGUACUGGUGGUAACUGCGAUGGGGGAACGGAGAAGGCUAGGUUGUCCGGGCGACGGUCGUCCCGGUUCAAGCAGGUAGGCAGAGUGAUUAGGCAAAUCCGGUCACUUAAUGCUGAGAUGUGAUGACGAACCACCAAGGUGGUGAAGCAAUUGAUGCCCCGCUUCCAGGAAAAGCCUCUAAGCUUCAGGUUACCAACAAUCGUACCCCAAACCGACACAGGUGGUCAGGUAGAGAAUACUCAGGCGCUUGAGAGAACUCGGGUGAAGGAACUAGGCAAAAUGGUGCCGUAACUUCGGGAGAAGGCACGCUGGCGGUAGGUAAAGUCCCUUGCGGACGGCGCUGAAGCCAGUCGAAGAUACCAGCUGGCUGCAACUGUUUAUUAAAAACACAGCACUGUGCAAACACGAAAGUGGACGUAUACGGUGUGACGCCUGCCCGGUGCUGGAAGGUUAAUUGAUGGGGUUAGCGUAAGCGAAGCUCCUGAUCGAAGCCCCAGUAAACGGCGGCCGUAACUAUAACGGUCCUAAGGUAGCGAAAUUCCUUGUCGGGUAAGUUCCGACCUGCACGAAUGGCGUAAUGAUGGCCAGGCUGUCUCCACCCGAGACUCAGUGAAAUUGAACUCGCUGUGAAGAUGCAGUGUACCCGCGGCAAGACGGAAAGACCCCGUGAACCUUUACUAUAGCUUGACACUGAACAUUGAGCCUUGAUGUGUAGGAUAGGUGGGAGGCUUUGAAGUGUGGACGCCAGUCUGCAUGGAGCCAACCUUGAAAUACCACCCUUUAACGUUUGAUGUUCUAACCUAGGCCCAUAAACUGGGUCGGGGACCGUGUCUGGUGGGUAGUUUGACUGGGGCGGUCUCCUCCUAAAGAGUAACGGAGGAGCACGAAGGUUGGCUAAGCAUGGUCGGACAUCAUGCGGUUAGUGCAAAGGCAUAAGCCAGCUUGACUGCGAGAGUGACGGCUCGAGCAGGUACGAAAGUAGGUCUUAGUGAUCCGGUGGUUCUGAAUGGAAGGGCCAUCGCUCAACGGAUAAAAGGUACUCCGGGGAUAACAGGCUGAUACCGCCCAAGAGUUCAUAUCGACGGCGGUGUUUGGCACCUCGAUGUCGGCUCAUCACAUCCUGGGGCUGAAGUAGGUCCCAAGGGUAUGGCUGUUCGCCAUUUAAAGUGGUACGCGAGCUGGGUUUAGAACGUCGUGAGACAGUUCGGUCCCUAUCUGCCGUGGGCGUUGGAAGAUUGAGAGGGGUUGCUCCUAGUACGAGAGGACCGGAGUGAACGCACCACUGGUGUUCGGGUUGUCAUGCCAAUGGCAUUGCCCGGUAGCUAAGUGCGGAAGAGAUAACCGCUGAAAGCAUCUAAGCGGGAAACUUGCCUCGAGAUGAGUCUUCCCUGUCGCUUUAAGCGACCUAAAGGAACGUUUAAGACUAAGACGUUGAUAGGCUGGGUGUGUAAGCGUAGCGAUACGUUGAGCUAACCAGUACUAAUGAACCGUGAGGCUUAACCUGACAACACCGAAAGUGUUUUG